CCUACGGGUGGCAGCAGUGAGGAAUAUUGGUCAAUGGGCGAGAGCCUGAACCAGCCAAGUCGCGUGAGGGAAGACGGUCCUAUGGUUUGUAAACCUCUUUUGUCGGGGAGCAAAAAGGCCUCGUGAGGCCACAAGUGAGAGUACCCGAAGAAAAAGCAUCGGCUAACUCCGUGCCAGCAGCCGCGGUAAUACGGAGGAUGCGAGCGUUAUCCGGAUUUAUGGGGUUUAAAGGGUGCGUAGGCGGUCCGUUAAGUCAGCGGUAAAAUUGCGGGGCUCAACCACGUCCAGCCGUUGAAACUGGCAGACUUGAGUUGGCGAGAAGUACGCGGAAUGCGCGGUGUAGCGGUGAAAUGCACAGAUAGCGCGCAGAACUCCGAUUGCGAAGGCAGCGUACCGGCGCCAGACUGACGCUGAGGCACGAAAGCGUGGGGAUCGAACAGGAUUAGAUACCCGUGUAGUC
rnacentral:rRNA from 1 species